GGAGAGGUGGCUGAGUGGUUCAUAGCGCCGGUCUUGAAAACCGGUAUAGGUUUCUAGCCUAUCGAGGGUUCGAAUCCCUCUCUCUCCU
rnacentral:tRNA from 1 species